rnacentral:rRNA from 1 species
UACAGAGGGUGCGAGCGUUAAUCGGAAUUACUGGGCGUAAAGCGCACGUAGGUGGCGACGUAAGUCGGGUGUGAAAGCCCCGGGCUCAACCUGGGAAUUGCAUUCGAGACUGCAUUGCUGGAGUACGGAAGAGGAAGGCGGAAUUCCCGGUGUAGCGGUGAAAUGCGUAGAUAUCGCUUGGAACGCCGACGGUGAAGACAGGCAACUGGACGUGCGCCGACGCUGAGACGCGAAAGCCAGGGGAGCGAACGGG